GACGAACGCUGGCGGCGUGCUUAACACAUGCAAGUCGAACGGAAAGGCCCUGCUUUUGUGGGGUGCUCGAGUGGCGAACGGGUGAGUAACACGUGAGUAACCUGCCCCCUUCUUUGGGAUAACGUCGGGAAAUCGGCGCUAAUACUGGAUAUUCUUGCUGCAUCGCAUGGUGUGGUUUGGAAAGGGUUUCUGGUGGGGGAUGGGCUCGCGGCCUAUCAGCUUGUUGGUGGGGUGAUGGCCUACCAAGGCUUUGACGGGUAGCCGGCCUGAGAGGGUGUCCGGCCACACUGGGACUGAGACACGGCCCAGACUCCUACGGGAGGCAGCAGUGGGGAAUAGUGCACAAUGGGCGCAAGCCUGAUGCAGCGACGCCGCGUGAGGGAUGACGGCCUUCGGGUUGUAAACCUCCUUCAGUAUGGAACAAGGAUCCUUCUUUUGGGGGGUUUGAGGGUACGUGCAGAAGAAGCGCCGGCUAACUACGUG
rnacentral:rRNA from 1 species